rnacentral:rRNA from 1 species
CAGCAGUCAAGAAUAUUAGUCAAUGCUCGCAAGAGUGAACUAGCUAACUGAAAUCUUAAAAAUUUUUUUUUAAUUAUUAAGAUAAGGUAAGAGAAAAUAAUGAUAUUAUCUUACUAUUAGUGUCGUCUAAAUUUGGUGCCAGAAGACUCGGUAAGACCUUAGACGCGAACGUUAAUCGUCAUAAUCAGGCGUAAAGGGUGUGUAGGCGGCUUUAAAAAUAUAUAAUUUAUAUUUAAAUUAAAGCUAGAAUCUAAAAGAGGGUAAGCUAAACAACAUAAUUAAUUAGGACUGACAACUUAUAAUAAUGUGGAGUACUAAAGGUUAAAGCUAUUUAUCUACUUAAGAUUGACGCUCAGAAACGAAGGGGAGAAUAAGAAACUUAGAUUAGAUACCUAAUUAUCUCUCUCAGUCAACGAUGAAUGGUAGUUAUUAAAAAUACAAAUAUAAUUUUUUAUAUAAAUAUUAGUAACGAGGUUAACACGAUGACCAUUCCGCCUUGUUAGUAAGACUGCAAAGUUGAAAACAAAAAAAUUAGUCGGUCUUGAAGCAAACGAAGUGAAGCAUGUUAUUUAAUUCGAUAAUCCGCA